AUUGAACGCUGGCGGCAGGCUUAACACAUGCAAGUCGAGCGGGGGAAGGUAGCUUGCUACUGGACCUAGCGGCGGACGGGUGAGUAAUGCUUAGGAAUCCGCCUAUUAGUGGGGGACAACAUCUCGAAAGGGAUGCUAAUACCGCAUACGUCCUACGGGAGAAAGCAGGGGAUCUUCGGACCUUGCGCUAAUAGAUGAGCCUAAGUCGGAUUAGCUAGUUGGUGGGGUAAAGGCCUACCAAGGCGACGAUCCGUAGCGGGUCUGAGAGGAUGAUCCGCCACACUGGGACUGAGACACGGCCCAGACUCCUACGGGAGGCAGCAGUGGGGAAUAUUGGACAAUGGGGGGAACCCUGAUCCAGCCAUGCCGCGUGUGUGAAGAAGGCCUUAUGGUUGUAAAGCACUUUAAGCGAGGAGGAGGCUACUCUAGUUAAUACCUGGGGAUAGUGGACGUUACUCGCAGAAUAAGCACCGGCUAACUCUGUGCCAGCCGCCGCCGUAA
rnacentral:rRNA from 1 species